UUAGUGAUAGCUUGGUAAUUGAAUUUUGUAGUUUGGUAGAUUUGUUAUAGAACUUUUAUGAACCAUUUUGUAAUGUAAAUUUUUAUUGGUAAUAUACUUUUUUGGGAUUUUAUAUCGGUUGGAGAAGUACGGUUUGAUAAAAAAUCUGUUGUGCUUUUUCCGAGUUUUUUUUUUAAUGUUAUACGAGCUACUUUUGCUGCAACGUGCAACGCCAUUUUGAAUAUCAC
rnacentral:lncRNA from 1 species